GACGAACGCUGGCGGCGUGCUUAACACAUGCAAGUCGAACGGUAAGGCCCUUCGGGGUACACGAGUGGCGAACGGGUGAGUAACACGUGGGUGAUCUGCCCUGCACUUCGGGAUAAGCCUGGGAAACUGGGUCUAAUACCGGAUAGGACUCCUGCCUGCAUGGGUGGGGGUGUAAAGCUUUUGCGGUGUGGGAUGGGCCCGCGGCCUAUGGGCGUUGUGGUGGGGUGAUGGCCUACCAAGGCGACGACGGGUAGCCGGCCUGAGAGGGUGACCGGCCACACUGGGACUGAGAUACGGCCCAGACUCCUACGGGAGGCAGCAGUGGGGAAUAUUGCACAAUGGGCGCAAGCCUGAUGCAGCGACGCCGCGUGAGGGAUGACGGCCUUCGGGUUGUAAACCUCUUUCAGCACAGACGAAGCGCAAGUGACGGUAUGUGCAGAAGGAGGACCGGCCAACUACGUGCCAGCCGCCGCUGUAA
rnacentral:rRNA from 1 species